rnacentral:rRNA from 1 species
GACGGACGCUGGCGGCGUGCUUAACACAUGCAAGUCGAACGGAAAGGCCCUGCUUUUGUGGGGUGCUCGAGUGGCGGACGGGUGAGUAACACGUGAGUAACCUGCCCUUGACUUUGGGAUAACUUCAGGAAACUGGGGCUAAUACCGGAUAGGAGCUCCUGCUGCAUGGUGGGGGUUGGAAAGUUUCGGCGGUUGGGGAUGGACUCGCGGCUUAUCAGCUUGUUGGUGGGGUAGUGGCUUACCAAGGCUUUGACGGGUAGCCGGCCUGAGAGGGUGACCGGCCACAUUGGGACUGAGAUACGGCCCAGACUCCUACGGGAGGCAGCAGUGGGGAAUAUUGCACAAUGGGCGGAAGCCUGAUGCAGCAACGCCGCGUGCGGGAUGACGGCCUUCGGGUUGUAAACCGCUUUCGCCUGUGACGAAGCGUGAGUGACGGUAAUGGGUAAAGAAGCACCGGCUAACUACGUG